UACGUAGGGCGCGAGCGUUGUCCGGAAUUAUUGGGCGUAAAGAGCUCGUAGGCGGUCUGUCGCGUCGGAUGUGAAAGCCCGGGGCUUAACCCCGGGUCUGCAUUCGAUACGGGCAGACCAGAGUGUGGUAGGGGAGAUCGGAAUUCCUGGUGUAGCGGUGAAAUGCGCAGAUAUCAGGAGGAACACCGGUGGCGAAGGCGGAUCUCUGGGCCAUUACUGACGCUGAGGAGCGAAAGCGUGGGGAGCGAACAGG
rnacentral:rRNA from 1 species